CGCGAAGUGGUGGAAUAGGUAGACACGCGACGCUCAGAACGUCGUGCCCACGAGGCGUAGGAGUUCGACUCUCCUCUUCGCGA
rnacentral:tRNA from 1 species